GUUAGGAAUAUUGGACAAUGGGCGCAAGCCUGAUCCAGCCAUGCCGCGUGAGUGAUGAAGGCCUUCGGGUUGUAAAGCUGUUUAGCCGAUGAUUAUAAUGACUGUAGUCGGAAAAUAAGCCCCGGCUAACUUCGUGCCAGCAGCCGCGGUAAUACGAAGGGGGCGAGCGUUAUUCGGAAUCACUGGGCGUAAAGCGUGCGUAGGCGGCUUUGCAAGUUGGGAGUGAAAGCCCAGGGCUCAACCCUGGAAUUGCUCUCAAAACUGCAAGGCUCGAAUUCGGGGGAGGAUAGCGGAAUUGUCAGUGUAGCAGUGAAAUGCGUAGAUAUUGACAGGAACACCAGUGGCGUAAGCGGCUAUCUGGACCGAUAUUGACGCUGAGGCACGAAAGCGUGGGGAUCAAACAGGAUUAGAAACCCCGGUAGUCC
rnacentral:rRNA from 1 species